rnacentral:rRNA from 1 species
AUUGAACGCUGGCGGCAGGCCUAACACAUGCAAGUCGAACGAGAGGCGGGCGGAUGAGUAAGGAAUGGGAAUCUGAGUGAUGGAGGGCGAUCACUAAUGGAAACUGUAACUAAUUCCGCAUUCCAUCGGAUGUGCCCAGAUUGGUUUAGCUAGUGGGUGGGGUAACGGCUGACCUAGGCGACGAGCCCUAGCUGGUCUGAGAGGAUGACCAGCCACACUGGAACGGAGACACGGUCCAGACUCCUACGGGAGGCAGCAGUGGGGAAUAUUGCACAAUGGGCGCAAGCCUGAUGCAGCCAUGCCGCGUGUAUGAAGAAGGCCUUCGGGUUGUAAAGUACUUUCAGCUGGGAGGCGUUACCCGCAGAAUAAGCACCGGCUAACUCCGUGCCAGCAGCCGCGGUAAUUC